AAUUAAUGAGCUUGAAUAAGCAUAUGUUUUGAAAACAUAAUAUAGAAGUUAAAAUUCUUCUAUUAAUUU
rnacentral:tRNA from 1 species